GCGCACCAGGCGAGAAAACUUCACACUGUGCGAAAGCACGAUGAGGGAAUCCCAAGUGCUUGCACGUAAGUGUAAGCUGUUUCUCUGUUUAAAACGCAGAGAGAGUAAGGGCUGGGUAAGACGGGUGCCAGCCGCCGCGGUAAUACCUGCAGCUCAAGUGGUGACCGUUAUUAUUGGGCCUAAAACGUCCGUAGCCGGUUUAAUAAAUGCCUGGGUAAAUCGUGUAGCUUAACUAUACGAAUUCCGGGUAGACUGUUAAACUCGAGACCGGGAGAAGUUAGAGGUACUCCUGGGGUAGAGGUGAAAUUCUGUAAUCCUAGGGGGACCACCAGUGGCGAAGGCGUCUAACUAGAACGGGUCUGACGGUGAGGGACGAAGCCCUGGGGCGCAAACGGGAUUAGAUACCCGU
rnacentral:rRNA from 1 species